rnacentral:rRNA from 1 species
UACGUAGGGUGCAAGCGUUUAAUCGGAAUUACUGGGCGUAAAGCGUGCGUAGGCGGUUCGUUAAGUUCGUUGUGAAAGCCCCGGGCUCAACCUGGGAAUGGCAAUGGAAACUGGCGGGCUGGAGUAUGGCAGAGGGGGGUGGAAUUCCGCGUGUAGCAGUGAAAUGCGUAGAGAUGCGGAGGAACACCGAUGGCGAAGGCAGCCCCCUGGGCCAAUACUGACGCUCAGGCACGAAAGCGUGGGGAGCAAACAGG